rnacentral:rRNA from 1 species
UACGUAGGUGGCAAGCGUUUAUCCGGAAUUAUUGGGCGUAAAGCGCGCGCAGGUGGUUCUUUAAGUCUGAUGUGAAAGCCCCCGGCUCAACCGGGGAGGGUCAUUGGAAACUGGGGAACUUGAGUAUAGAAGAGGAAAGUGGAAUUCCACGUGUAGCGGUGAAAUGCGUAGAGAUGUGGAGGAACACCAGUGGCGAAGGCGACUUUCUGGUCUAUAACUGACACUGAGGCGCGAAAGCGUGGGGAGCAAACAGG